rnacentral:rRNA from 1 species
GAUCCUGGCUCAGGAUGAACGCUAGCGACAGGCUUAACACAUGCAAGUCGAGGGGCAGCAUGAGGUAGCAAUACCUUGAUGGCGACCGGCGCACGGGUGAGUAAUGCGUAUGCAACCUGCCCGAUACCGGGGUAUAGCCCAUGGAAGCGUGGAUUAACACCCCAUAGUACUUUUAUCCUGCAUGGGAUGUGAGUUAAAUGUUCAAGGUAUCGGAUGGGCAUGCGUCCUA